CCUACGGGAGGCAGCAGUGAGGAAUAUUGGUCAAUGGACGCAAGUCUGAACCAGCCAUGCCGCGUGCAGGAAGACGGCUCUAUGAGUUGUAAACUGCUUUUGUACGAGGGUAAACGCAGAUACGAGUAUCUGUCUGAAAGUAUCGUACGAAUAAGGAUCGGCUAACUCCGUGCCAGCAGCCGCGGUAAUACGGAGGAUUCAAGCGUUAUCCGGAUUUAUUGGGUUUAAAGGGUGCGUAGGUGGGUCGAUAAGUUAGUGGUGAAAGCCCGAGGCUCAACUUCGGAAUUGCCUUUGAUACUGUUCGGCUAGAGAGUAGUUGCGGUAGGCGGAAUGUAUGGUGUAGCGGUGAAAUGCUUAGAGAUCAUACAGAACCCCGAUUGCGAAGGCAGCUUACCAAGCUACUUCUGAUGUUGAGGCACGAAAGCGUGGGGAGCAAACAGGAUUAGAUACCCGAGUAGUC
rnacentral:rRNA from 1 species